CUUUCUGAUCUUCUCAAAUUCAUUUCUAUAACCUGUAAAAAGAUUAUUCUGAAAGCCUUCACCGACAGAAAAAAAAACUUCAUCUCUAAAGUAAUAUGUCGAUCAGCUUGAUAGAAAAAGAUGGGGGAAAAUCAGUCUUCUCAGAUCACAACUUAAAAUUUAUGAAGAUAGACUUAGUGAAACAGAGAAGAGGGAUCAAAUUGCAUGUUGAAAAUUUGUUUAGGACAGGUGCGGAGAUCUUAACUCGUGUUCCAAAUAGAAGAAUUUCAAAGUAUUUGCAACAAAUUUGGAAACCGGAGCAAGAUUCACUCAAGCUGAGACAGAGAGUCAGAGAGAAUGAAAAGGAUAUAAAGAUGAGAAGCCGUUGUUAAUUACAGUGAAGAGAAGGAACAUCAAUCAAUUGUGAGAGUGAAACAGAUUUUUGUAAACGACUUGAAAGGCUCUAUUCUGCGAGCUCAGGUUAACUGUGUGUGUGUGUCUACAUUCCGUUAGACCAAACUUGAGACGACUAGCAAUGGCUUCUUCAACUGUUUUUACUCAUAUCUUAGGUGAUGUUCCUUCAUCACCACUAUAUGGAAAAAUGGAGGUUUGCAAAUUUCUUCUUCUGUCUUGACAUAAUUAAUAUAACUUUUCCGAAUUAGAUUUUUGAAUCCUCAAUGUUUUUUUUAAUUGGCUAGCAUGCAUUUCAUUCUCAUUGAUUUUUUUUUUGCUUAUCUGCAGUAGGGUUAUAAUUAAUAGUUAUUGCAGAUAAGCAAAAAAUAUAUAUAUAAUACUACUGCAGAUAAGCAAAAAAUAUUAUUGCUUCUUAGAAAAAAAAAGAAUGUCUAUGUGAUUUUAAACAUUUUUUUGUUUGAAUGAAAAUGUUCAUGCUGGAAAAAAAUCAAUGCUUGGAGGUCACAGAGAUCAAUUCAUGUGGUAUAUACUACACGACCAAAAAGUGUGAGACAAAGAAGAAGAAGCCAUUUGAUGUCACAGGUUUUGUUAUAUACGUGUGUGUGUGUGAAGAGAAGUCACGGGUUUUGUAAGCACAAUCUGAAAGUGUUUGUAUGUGUCGCUUGUUUGUAUCUGUCACAAGUGUUUGUGAGUGUUUGUAUGUGUCACGGGUGUUGUUUGUGAAGUCACAAGUGUUUGUGAGUGUUUGUAUUGCAUUAUAUAACAAAGCCAUUGCAUCAUAGAAGUCACAAAAUCACAAAGCCAUUCUCAACUUUCUUCUCUUCGCAACACACAAGUCACAAAGCCAUUCUCAACUUUCUUCUCCAAAACACAAUCAACAUUUUAAUCAACUUUCUUCUCCAAAACCACUCUAUCCCUCAUUCUCUUUUCAUGGCUUCUUCUUCACAUAACACGUUUGAGGGAGUAGAUGAUGAAACUUUUGAUCAAUACUUUGAUCAAUAUUUUGAACAACGUUUUUAUCAAGCAUUCGAAAACUUUUCCAUUGAUUGUGAUCAAGGAGAACAAAGGAGGAGAAGAAAAAAAAGAGUUCAUAUCGAAAGAAAUCGUGAAGAAGGCGAACUCCGUUUAUGGAAUUAUUAUUUCAGUGAAAAUCCAACAUAUCCUGCAAAUCUUUUCCGACGGCGAUUUAGAAUGAACAAGCCAUUGUUCAUGCGAAUUGUUGAUCGACUCUCCAAUGAAGUUGAAUACUUUCGACCAAAGGAAGAUGCUCUCGAAAGGCUUAGUCUCUCUGCACUUCAAAAGUGUACAGCAGCCAUUCGUGUCUUGGCAUAUGGUUCUGCGGCUGUUGUUGUUGCCGAAUACCUCCGACUCGGUUCAACAACCACUCGGUUAUGUGUGGAACACUUUGUAGAAGGAAUAAUAAAUUUAUUCGGCGAUGAGUACCUAAGAAGACC